rnacentral:rRNA from 1 species
CACGUAGGGGGCAAGCGUUGUCCGGAUUUAUUGGCGUAAAGAGCUCGUAGGCGGUUCGGUAAGUCGGGUGUGAAACCUCCAGGCUCAACCUGGAGACGCCACCCGAUACUGCUGUGACUAGAGUCCGGUAGGGGAGCGUGGAAUUCCUGGUGUAGCGGUGAAAUGCGCAGAUAUCAGGAGGAACACCAGCGGCGAAGGCGGCGCUCUGGGCCGGAACUGACGCUGAGGAGCGAAAGCGUGGGGAGCAAACA